UACGUAGGGGGCAAGCGUUGUCCGGAAUCAUUGGGCGUAAAGAGCGUGUAGGCGGCCAGAUAAGUCCGCUGUGAAAUCUCGAGGCUCAACUUCGAGCUGUCGGUGGAAACUGUCUGGCUAGAGUCCGGAAGAGGAGAAUGGAAUUCCUGGUGUAGCGGUGAAAUGCGCAGAUAUCAGGAGGAAUACCGGUGGCGAAAGCGACUCUCUGGACGGCAACUGACGCUGAGGCACGAAAGCGUGGGGAGCAAACAGG
rnacentral:rRNA from 1 species